UACAGAGGGUGCGAGCGUUAUUCGGAAUUACUGGGCGUAAAGCGUGCGUAGACGGUCAAGUAAGUCGGGUGUGAAAGCCCCGGGCUCAACCUGGGAAUUGCAUUCGAGACUGCGUGGCUAGGGUGCGGAAGGGGGAAGCGGAAUUUCCGGUGUAGCGGUGAAAUGCGUAGAUAUCGGAAGGAACACCAGUGGCGAAAGCGGCUUCCUGGUCCAGCACCGACGUUCAGGCACGAAAGCGUGGGGAGCAAACAGG
rnacentral:rRNA from 1 species